AUUGAACGCUGGCGGCAUGCCUUACACAUGCAAGUCGAACGGCAGCACGGGUGCUUGCACCUGGUGGCGAGUGGCGAACGGGUGAGUAAUACAUCGGAACAUGUCCUGUAGUGGGGGAUAGCCCGGCGAAAGCCGGAUUAAUACCGCAUACGAUCUACGGAUGACAGCGGGGGCCUUCGGGCCUCGCGCUAUAGGGUUGGCCGAUGGCUGCUUAGCUAGUUGGUGGGGUAAAGGCCUACCAAGGCGACGAUCAGUAGCUGGUCUGAGAGGACGACCAGCCACACUGGAACUGAGACACGGCCCAGACUCCUACGGGAGGCAGCAGUGGGGAAUUUUGGACAAUGGGCGAAAGCCUGAUCCAGCAAUGCCGCGUGUGUGAAGAAGGCCUUCGGGUUGUAAAGCACUUUUGUCCGGAAAGAAAUCCUUGGCCCUAAUACGGUCGGGGGAUGACGGUACCGGAAGAAUAAGCACCGGCUAACUACGUG
rnacentral:rRNA from 1 species